rnacentral:rRNA from 1 species
UGGAGGGAUAAGAAGAGAGAAUGCCGGAAUGAGUAGCGAGAGAAAGGUGGGAAUCCUUUCGGCCGAAUAUCUAAGGUUUCCAGAGUAAAGCUGAUCUGCUCCGGGUAAGUCGGGGCCUAAGCACAGGUCGCAAGACGUAAGCGAUGGAUAACAGGUUUAGAUUCCUGUACCACGCAUUAUCAGAACUGUAGGGACGCAUGUGGAAAGCACGGGCCGGGAAUGGAAAGACCGGUACAAGCGGGGUAGGUGUACAAUAGGCAAAUCCGUUGUAUAAUCCGAAGACGUGAUGUGGAGCGAAAUAAAGUAGUGAAGCGUGUGAGCCAUGUGCCGAGAAAAGCUGCUAUUGUGUAAUGCGUGCCCGUACCGUAAACCGACACAGGUGGAUGAGGAGAGAAUCCUAAGGCCGGCGGAAGAAGCAUUGUUAAGGAAUUCGGCAAAAUGACCCCGUAACUUCGGGAGAAGGGGUGCCUGCGAGAGCAGGCCGCAGAGAAUAGGCUCAAGCAACUGUUUAGCAAAAACACAGGUCUAUGCGAAACCGAAAGGUGAAGUAUAUGGGCUGACGCCUGCCCGGUGCUGGAAGGUUAAGAGGAGAGGUUAGCUUCGGCGAAGCUUUGAAUUUAAGCCCCAGUAAACGGCGGCCGUAACAAUAACGGUCCUAAGGUAGCGAAAUUCCUUGUCGGGUAAGUUCCGACCCGCAUGAAAGGCGUAAUGAUUUGAGCACUGUCUCGACAAUGCAUCCGGUGAAAUUGAAGUACCAGUGAAGAUGCUGGUUACCCGCGCCAGGACGGAAAGACCCCAUGGAGCUUUACUCCAGUUUGAUACUGGGAUUCGGUACUGCAUGUACAGGAUAGGUGGGAGACGAAGAAGGAUGGACGCCAGUCUGUCCGGAGUCGCUGUUGGGAUACCACCCCUGUAGUACUGGGUUUCUAACCAGUUGCCAUGAACUGGCAAUGGGACAAUGUCAGGCGGGGAGUUUGACUGGGGCGGUCGCCUCCGAAAGGGUAUCGGAGGCGCUCAAAGGUUCCCUCAGAAUGGUUGGAAACCAUUUGAAGAGUGCAAAGGCAGAAGGGAGCUUGACUGCGACACCGACGGGUGGAGCAGGUACGAAAGUAGGACUUAGUGAUCCGGUGGUAUAAAGUGGGAUUGCCAUCGCUCAACGGAUAAAAGCUACCCUGGGAUAACAGGCUUAUCACUCCCAAGAGUUCACAUCGACGGAGUGGUUUGGCACCUCGAUGUCGGCUCAUCGCAUCCUGGGGCUGUAGCAGGUCCCAAGGGUUGGGCUGUUCGCCCAUUAAAGCGGUACGCGAGCUGGGUUCAGAACGUCGUGAGACAGUUCGGUCCCUAUCCGGCGCGGGCGGAGGAUAUUUGAGAGGAGCUGUCCUUAGUACGAGAGGACCGGGAUGGACGGACCACUGGUGUAUCUGUUGUCGACCAACGGCAUGGCAGAGUAGCCAAGUCUGGAAGGGAUAAACGCUGAAGGCAUCUAAGCGUGAAGCCCCCCUCAAGAUGAGAUAUCCUCCUUCGGGAGUAAGACCCCUUGAAGACUACAAGGUAGAUAGGGCAGAGGUGGAAGCAUGGCAACAUGUGGAGCUGACUGUUACUAAUAGGUCGAGGGCUUAAUAA